UACGUAGGGGGCGAGCGUUGUUCGGAAUUACUGGGCGUAAAGCGCACGUAGGCGGAUUUGUAAGUCAGGGGUGAAAUCCCGGGGCUCAACCUCGGAACUGCCUUUGAUACUGCAAAUCUCGAGUCCGGAAGAGGUGAGUGGAAUUCCUAGUGUAGAGGUGAAAUUCGUAGAUAUUAGGAAGAACACCAGUGGCGAAGGCGGCUCACUGGUCCGGUACUGACGCUGAGGUGCGAAAGCCAGGGGAGCAAACGGG
rnacentral:rRNA from 1 species